AGUGAACGCUGGCGGUAGGCCUAACACAUGCAAGUCGAACGGCAGCACAGUAAGAGCUUGCUCUUACGGGUGGCGAGUGGCGGACGGGUGAGGAAUACAUCGGCAUCUACUUUUUCGUGGGGGAUAACGUAGGGAAACUUACGCUACUACCUCAUACGACCUACGGGUGAAAGCAGGGGAUCUUCGGACCUUGCGCGAUUGAAUGAGCCGAUGUCGGAUUAGCUAGUUGGCGGGGUAAAGGCCCACCAAGGCGACGAUCCGUAGCUGGUCUGAGAGGAGGAUCAGCCACACUGGAACUGAGACACGGUCCAGACUCCUACGGGAGGCAGCAGUGGGGAAUAUUGGACAAUGGGCGAAAGCCUGAUCCAGCCAUACCGCGUGGGUGAAGAAGGCCUUCGGGUUGUAAAGCCCUUUUGUUGGGAAAGAAAAGCAGCAGGUUAAUACCCCGCUGUUCUGACGGUACCCAAAGAAUAAGCACCGGCUAACUUCGUG
rnacentral:rRNA from 1 species